CCUACGGGAGGCAGCAGUGAGGAAUAUUGGUCAAUGGACGAGAGUCUGAACCAGCCAAGUAGCGUGAAGGAUGACUGCCCUAGGGGUUUUAAGCUUCUGUUAUAUGGGAAUAAAAUGUUCCACGUUUGGGAUGUAGUGUGUACCAAAUGAAUAAGGAUCGGCUAACUCAGUGCCAGCAGCCGCGGUAAUACGGAGGAUACGAGCGUUAUACGGAUUUAUUGGGUUUAAAGGGAGCGUAGAUGGAUUGUUAAGUCAGUUGUGAAAGUUUUCGGCUCAACCGUAAAAUUGCAGUUGAUACUGGCAGUCUUGAGUACAGGAGAGGUAGGCGGAAUUCGUGGUGUAGCGGUGAAAUGCUUAGAUAUCACGAAGAACUCCGAUUGCGAAGGCAGCUCACUGGACUGCAACUGACACUGAGGCUCGAAAGUGUGGGUAUCAAACAGGAUUAGAUACCCCUGUAGUC
rnacentral:rRNA from 1 species